rnacentral:tRNA from 1 species
AGGGGCAUAGUUCAACGGUAGAACGGUGGUCUCCAAAACCAUUAAUGUGGGUUCGAUUCCUACUGCCCCUG